GAAUGUUCUAGAAAGAACACCUGUUAUUCUACUCAUGAUUCUUGUCGGCAUGAGUCCCCAUGAUUCCAUCUAACCACACAGGGUCCAGGAGGCGCAGCUCUAUCCCAGGCCUGUAGUGGUCUGGAAGACAGCUGGAAAUACACAGCGGAACCAGCAGCUGCCACAUCAUCUUCCAGCCUGUUAGAGGAAGCUUAUGUUUAGUAUUGAGUUUGGAUGUGUGGAGAUCAACAGGAUUCCUCUGUGCAUGUACCAACAGUUCUCAACCUGUUGGCUGUGACCCACCUUGAAGGUCGACCAUCCCUUUCAUAGGGGUCACCUAAGAUGAACAGAAAACACAAAUGUUUAUCUUACAGUUCACGACAGUAGUAAAAUUACAGUUAUGAAGUAGCUGUACAGUUAUGGUCCGGGGUCACCACCACAUAAGGGUCUGAGUUAAAGGGUCACAGCGUUAGGAAAGUUGAGAAGCACUGGCAUAUAUUAUUCUUUCACUCCCUCACCAAAUCAGAUUGCUUUGUUUAACUGGAGAAAACUGGGUGGAGUAGGCUAAGAGGUUCUGCUUAAAUUCAAGAUAGAGGCCCUGCCCAGUGUUCACACCUCCUCUACUGCUCACUCCCGUGUUUCAGAGUCUCUCUGAGGGGUCACUUCUCCUCCGGGUCCCCAACCCACAAGGGCUGUGACUACAACCUAGUCAGAAUCACAGGAAGUCUGUACAGGUUUUACGUGUGUUAUAUGACAUAAUCGUCACAUUAUUUUUCAUCGUGAAAAAAACAGAUGUAGCCUAAGUGUCCAAUGAUAAGGAGGUGUGUACGCUUUAAAAUACUUAAGGAAAUGGAAACAUAUUUGCAAUAUUCCAAUCCCUGAGUUUAAGAAAAGAAGGUACCAGAACAGUGGGUGCAACAUUCUAUCUUUUAAAAACACAGGGAACUUGGGAGUAAGGUGGCUCCCACUUGGGGGUAGUGGGGCAGAGUGGAGGAGACUGGAGGAAGGGCUGACCACUGUGUACCACGCUGCAAGAGCAAGGGCAAGAAGUUUUAGAGGACUGUUCGCUGUAUGGUGGCUUCAUAGUGUCUAUUGCAAAAAGUAGAAGCACUGGCUUUGCAUUGUAAGUCCUGGAGGAGGCAAAUGACUUAACUUGUUCUGAUACAUAACCAUCUCAAAACAUCUCCAUACCCCAUGGCUAUGUUUAAGGUAUCAGAGAUAAACUGUAAAGCUGUGUCUAGAUAUGUUUAAGGUUGUGUUCAAUGUACUGAAGAUACACUGUAAAAUACAAUGUAAAAUAUGCACUUGAAGCUAGAAAUAAAAAUUCUAAUGUCUGAGUGUAAAAACGAUGUAUCUUUUUAUAUCAUAUUAUGUGUGUGGGUUUUGUCUUUUUCCUUUUGUGUGUAUAUGCCUUUCAUGUGUGUGUAGGUACAUAUAUGUGUGGAGGCCAAGAAGACAGUCUUCAUCCUUAAUUCCUUAAUAUCAUUUGUCAGUAUCAUCUACUUUUUUUUUUUUGAACCAAAGUCUCUCAUUGGACUGGAAUUUACUAAUUGAGCUAGGCUAGCUAGCAAGUCCCAAAGAUCUUGCUUGUUUCUGCUUCCCCAGUGCUGGGAUUACAAGAUAGUACCCUACUUUGUCUUGCUUUUAUGUAUGCUCUCGGAAUUCCACUCAUGUCUUUGUGCUUAUAGGGUAAGAAAACAUUUUACCAACACAGCCAUCUCUCUGGUCAACUUGCUUUCCCUACCCCACCCCCACCUGCUGCUACCAGUGUGUGUGUGUGUGUGUCUGUCUGUCUGUCUGUCUGUCUCUCUGUCGGUCUGUUAGGUAAGCAGGACAGGCUUCUGUCAUAGCUAAAGUUGUGUAUAAGUACCUCUAGUCCGUCUGUGUGUUAAUUUAGGUUGCAUGCAUAAUGUUAUUUCAGGUUAGUGAGUUGCUGUAGGACAUACCUACCUCUAUAGUGGACUGAACCUGCUUCUGAGAUAGACAUUCAACAACUGCUCCAGUGGAUUUGGAGGCUAGUUUGAUGUCGGUUCACGCACAUCUGGGCAUGGGCAUUUUACCAUCCCUUGCCCUUUCGUCUGCUGAAGAGCUGUACAGAUCUUGCUUGGCAUUUUGACUUGGUAUUUCCCAGCUGCUGCAAAUCCGCCAAGCAGGGACUUGACAUUGGCACUUUGAGGCCACUCCGUAGCAGGUUGGUUUGUAAAGAGAUGCUAAAUUUGCUGAGAUAGUGAAAAGCUGGCAUGUAUUUAUUUUGGGAAGAGACAGACUCUUGUGAAAUAGGGGCCCAUUCUGGAAGAACUUGUACCACUCAUUCAUCUCGCCUUGUGCACGGAGCUGUAAUGCUACAGCUGUCACCCGUUUUCAAUGAGCGAUUGUCAUAUUGUCAAUCCACGAUAAUACAGAACAAUUUCUAUUCUCCAUGUUGAAGCAUCGCCUUUGUAGUGCAAUUCAGUUCGUAUUAACAAUGCUUUGAUGACAAUUCCUUCCCACUCCACCCUUCCAGCCCUCCCUCUCGCCAUUUCUGAACCAGAGGAAAUCGUAUUUUGACAAUAUCUCUAGUGUUACCAAUUUUCUGCUUUAAAACAUUUUGGGCCCAGAGUCCUCGCUGAAACUGCAGAAAGCACACCGAUCUAUUUCCUUUUUUUUUUUUUUUUUUUUUUGAGAAGAAAAAAAAACCCAACCAACCAACAACAUCAACAACAAAAACCUAACUCUCUGGGGAUUGGGUAGUGACUUGCCCAGCAGAACUAAAAGUAUUUUUAACCAUUCCUUAUUUCUUCUUAAAACAUUUCUAUAAAAAAGAAAUGGCAUAUGCCUUAUUAUUCCCUUUCACGAGGAACAUAUUAGAAAUCAGCUCCUUUGGCUUUGGUGUUUUCAAGAUAGCCAUCCGUGAGCUUGGCUGUUUUCCCAGUUCUGAGUGAUGGCAGUCCUAGACCUGGCAUUACUGCCCCAAUGGAUCAGUACUUGAUGAGUCGCCCUAGAGGUAAAGUUGGUUCUGGGUGUGAGCGCUCCCCGUGUAUCUUAACUGUCACAAUUCACUGUUUUAAGCUGGUUGAGUGUUGAGCUUUUUCUGAACCCUCUCAAGAGCUAGAUCUGGGUAGACACAGGAGUGAUUCAGACCCACCGUGCACACUUGUAUAAUCCGGGCCAGGACCAACACUGUAGAUCUAAAAUGCAGUUAUCCUGAUGGCUUCGGGAUGUUUUCAUUGUACUCAUUUAAAAAUUUCUCACCAGGGAAGUUGGAACGAUGGGAAAUUUUAUAUGGUCCCAAAUGCCCCAGAUGACUGGUUUAUACUUUGACCUUAGAAAGG
rnacentral:lncRNA from 1 species